rnacentral:tRNA from 1 species
CAGUGUGUAGCUCAGAUUGGUAGAGCGCAUGCUCGGGGUGCAUGAGGCCGGGAGUUCGAGUCUCCCCACACUGACCA